GCGCUGCAAUGAUGAUGGUACCGCAAUUGGGAAACACCUUAGGCGGAGCUGCAACCAGCAUCACGAACACGGUUUUGACUAGCCAAAGUGGAAGUAGGAGCUCUGGAAAAGAGGAUGCUGGCACAGAUAGCGGAUCGGAUUCAGAGGACACAGAAAACGAAGG
rnacentral:lncRNA from 1 species